rnacentral:rRNA from 1 species
UACGUAGGGGUCAAGCGUUGUCCGGAUUUAUUGGGCGUAAAGAGCGUGUAGGCGGCCUGACAGGUCUGCUGUGAAAACUCGAGGCUCAACCUCGAGAUGUCGGCGGAAACCGUCUGGCUAGAGUCCGGAAGAGGAGAGUGGAAUUCCUGGUGUAGCGGUGAAAUGCGCAGAUAUCAGGAAGAACACCUAUGGCGAAGGCAGCUCUCUGGGACGGUACUGACGCUGAGACGCGAAAGCGUGGGGAGCGAACAGG